rnacentral:rRNA from 1 species
CCCAGACUCCUACGGGAGGCAGCAGUGGGGGAUAUUGCACAAUGGGGGGAACCCUGAUGCAGCGACGCCGCGUGGGUGAAGGAGCGUUUCGGCGCGUAAAGCCCUAUCGGCAGGGAAGAAGGAGGACGGUACCUGACUAAGAAGCCCCGGCUAACUACGUGCCAGCAGCCGCGGUAAUACGUAGGGGGCAAGCGUUAUCCGGAUUUACUGGGUGUAAAGGGGGCGCAGACGGCAGCGCAAGCCAGGAGUGAAAGCCCGGGGCCCAACCCCGGGACUGCUCUUGGAACUGCGUGGCUGGAGUGCAGGAGGGGCAGGCGGAAUUCCUGGUGUAGCGGUGAAAUGCGUAGAUAUCAGGAGGAGCACCGGUGGCGAAGGCGGCCUGCUGGACUGCAACUGACGUUGAGGCCCGAAAGCGUGGGGAGCAAACAGGAUUAGAUACCCCGGUACG